rnacentral:lncRNA from 1 species
AAUCCAAACCCAAAACGUGAGCAGGGCGAUCGUGAACCACCAGAAAAUCACAGAACAGCAAAUCCAGAAUUAAACACACAAAACUCCAACCCUGAAGUUGAGUUCCCCCAUAAAUUCUCCUCGAUUUGUACCAAUUUUUUGGCCAGAAUUGCUCUCCACCACCAAUAUCUGGGAUGUGGAAGGGAAAAGUGGCACCAGAGGGAAACGGGGAGUGGUUCCUUCCUUUCCUUUUAUCCCACAAAGUCUUUUUUUUUUUUUUCCCUCCUCCUCCUCUUCCCCAGCCCCACUAAAACAGCAGGGGGGUUUUUAGGGAGCUGUUUCCGACCCCAAAUUCCCUCCUGGAUGCUGGGAAGGCAAUUGAGCAGCAGUUGCCAAAAGCGCUUUGGGCUGGGGGGUGGAGGCUGUCCCAAAAAACGUGCCCAGGGUCACACAAAGGGGCCAAAAAGGGGCAGCAGGAGGGGCUGGGGGCAGGAAGGGCAGGAGCAGCUCCGGGACAAAUUUUGGGAAUUCUGCUCCACAGGGGAGUGGGGAUUGUGCUGGUUCAGGAAGGGCAGGAGCAAUUCCUGACCAAAUUUUGGGAACUCUGCUCCACAGGGGAGUGAGGAUUGUGCUGGUCCAGGAAGUCUCCUGACCAAAUUUUGGGGUCUCUGCUCCACAGGGGAGUGGGGAUUGUGCUGGUUCAGGAAGGACAGGAGCAGUUCCUGACCAAAUUUUGGGGUUUCUGCCCCACAGGGGAGUGAGAACUGUGCUGCUCCAGGUCCCAGCUGAGCCCCAGAACUCCACAGUGCUGCAGCUCCUCAUCCUCAGGGGUUUGGGCACUGCUGGGAUGUGCUGCUCCCCCCAGGACACAGAUCCAGCAUCCCAGAGAUUGCUGGGAUCCCACAGCUGGGGAUCCACCUGGGCUGGGCUGUGUCCCCAAAAGGGAGGGCUUCAAGGUGCAGAAAAUUAACAAAAUCCCUCUGCCAGCCCUUGCCAGAGAGGGAAGUGCUCAAAAUUUAAAAAAAAAUAAUAAUUCAGUGUAAUGCAAGGCACUGCCUGGACAUGGACUGUGCUCCAUCAGAGCAGCAGAGAAAAAAGGAAUAUUCCCAAUCCUCUUCUUCCAUCCCUUGCUCCAAGUCACUGCAGCAGGGCUCUGCUGAGGAAACAGCCACUGAAAAGUUCAAAAUAUCAGGAAAAAACACCAAACCAGGGACAGUUCAGGGCAAGGUGACCAUGGUAACGAUGAUGAUGAUGAUGAUGGUGAUGGUGAGAAGCCCAUCAGAGCUGCAGUGGCUUCAGCAGCAGGCCCAGCCUGGAGGGGAGGUCUCCUUGAUGUUGAUGUAAUCCCCAGUGCCAGCAGAGGAGGAGCUUCCAUCUCCCGCGGAUGAGGACAUCAUCUUCUCAAUCAGAACCCUGGGGGAAAAAAGUCCUGAGUUUGAUUUUGUUGGUUUUUUUUUUUUUUUUUCAGAAGAGAAAUAAAAAAUUUUAAAAAGCAAAGCCCUGAAGUGCA